rnacentral:rRNA from 1 species
GUGCCAGCCGCUGCGGUAAUACGGAGGGUGCAAGCGUUAAUCGGAAUUACUGGGCGUAAAGCGCACGCAGGCGGUCUGUUAAGUCAGAUGUGAAAUCCCCGGGCUCAACCUGGGAACUGCAUCUGAUACUGGCAGGCUUGAGUCUCGUAGAGGGGGGUAGAAUUCCAGGUGUAGCGGUGAAAUGCGUAGAGAUCUGGAGGAAUACCGGUGGCGAAGGCGGCCCCCUGGACGAAGACUGACGCUCAGGUGCGAAAGCGUGGGGAGCAAACAGGAUUAGAUACCCUGGUAGUCCACGCCGUAAACGAUGUCGACUUGGAGGUUGUGCCCUUGAGGCGUGGCUUCCGGAGCUAACGCGUUAAGUCGACCGCCUGGGGAGUACGGCCGCAAGGUUAAACUCAAAUGAAUUGACGGGGCCCGCACAAGCGGUGGAG